UACGAAGGGGGCUAGCGUUGUUCGGAAUCACUGGGCGUAAAGCGCACGUAGGCGGAUCUUAAGUCAGGGGUGAAAUCCCGAGGCUCAACCUCGGAACUGCCUUUGAUACUGGGGAUCUCGAGUCCGGGAGAGGUGAGUGGAACUGCGAGUGUAGAGGUGAAAUUCGUAGAUAUUCGCAAGAACACCAGUGGCGAAGGCGGCUCACUGGCCCGGAACUGACGCUGAGGUGCGAAAGCGUGGGGAGCAAACAGGG
rnacentral:rRNA from 1 species